rnacentral:lncRNA from 1 species
GGGGGGGGGGUGUCAGUGGGCCAGCUAAGCCUUGGACCCUCGAACCUGGAGUACCCUGAAGGGAGCCCUCAGAUGGUGCUGUGGCCCCAUGGCCUGGGCUCCUGGGAACCUCCUGAGCUCACAGUGGUCUCUGAGCAGAGGAGCAGGAAUCCCUGCAAGGUGGCAGGCUGGUUGGUCUUGGCUGGUGGGUGGAUGCAAACAGCUCUGCUGUUAUUAACGAAGCAAUGACUAAAAUGCACUUAAACCGGGGCAGGAGCUCAUGGAAGGAGAGUGAAAAUUUUUGCCAGGUCAGCCAUGGGUCCAGAAAUUGCCGUCCUUGCCCCAUGAUGUUGUGUGGCCUCUCUGGGAGCCAGGCCUUGGGCCUUCUACCUCUCAUUCUCAGCUUUGAGUGGGAGGCCUUUCUGUGGGAGAGCCGAAUCGUGACGAAGCCUGGGAACUGGGGGCCCCCUUCUGCGGUGGAUGUCAAAGCACCUGUCCUCAGGAGAGGGAAACCCUGGGGGAGGUGGGGGUAGCAAGGAUACCCGGUCCCCUCCCCUCCUCCCGCCAUAGGAAUGACACGGCUCCUGACACCAGGCGGGGGGUGGGGGGCCUAGCUUAGGACUUAGUGCCCUCCUUCCUCCCUCGGGGGAGCUCUCCCUCAAUGCCUUAAAACUGCUGGGCUUUGCCCGUCUAAUAGGAUUCCAGGGCUUCCUCAGUGGGGGCCCAAGUUCUUGGACCGUAGCCCCUCUAUGCUUAACUGGAAAGUGACCCUCCACUGCCACCUGGAGCCGUCUGGACACAGAAUCGCCCCAGUCUGGUUAGCAGCUGGCUGUUUCCAUGCCUGGGGAGGCGGUCCUCAGUGCAGAGGUUGGGGCCAAGCUGAGGUUCCAAGCUGCUCAAUGAAGCGGGGGGCGGGGGGGGUCCAACCUUGGACCAAAGUUGCCUUGAGCCCAGUAAGGUGAAAGCGGGAAGGCCAUCGGGCCACCUGUGAGAGGCUGACAGUGGCUGGCAGGCACUGUGAGUGGGUGUCUUGGCUCCAUCCCCUACCUGGGGUCCAGCAGCCUACUCCUCCCUCCCUCUCUCCCCUUUGACAUAGACUCCUGUAGCCCCUGGGCUAAUUUCCCCCAAGCUUCAAGCUGUACAUAGGGCCUCUCAAUGCACAAGUGCCCCGCCCACGUUACAUACCCCUCCAGGCCUGCGUGUGCAUACAGCGCCCCCCCCACCCUUAACUCCCUGUUCCUGCCCCUGCGCUUUGACUCGUAUUUAUCUCGUACCAGUUCUGACUCUGGAGUGGGCAGAGGGAAGCAGCCUCAGGCCUGCUUGCUUCCUGACCGCUGAACUGUUCUUUUCCAAAGUAAAUAUACGUAUAUAAAUAAAUGUAUAAAUACUGCUUUGUAUCU